CAGUCGCCGCGGGAAUACGUAGGUGGCAAGCGUUGUCCGGAAUUAUUGGGCGUAAAGGGCUCGCAGGCGGUUUCUUAAGUCUGAUGUGAAAGCCCCCGGCUCAACCGGGGAGGGUCAUUGGAAACUGGGAAACUUGAGUGCAGAAGAGGAGAGUGGAAUUCCACGUGUAGCGGUGAAACGCGUAGAGAUGUGGAGGAACACCAGUGGCGAAGGCGACUCUCUGGUCUGUAACUGACGCUGAGGAGCGAAAGCGUGGGGAGCGAACAGGAUUAGAUACCCCCGUAGUCCCUGUCUCUUAUAA
rnacentral:rRNA from 1 species